UACGUAGGGUGCGAGCGUUGUCCGGAAUUAUUGGGCGUAAAGAGCUCGUAGGCGGUGUGUCGCGUCGGCCGUGAAAACCUGCAGCUUAACUGUGGGCGUGCGGUCGAUACGGGCAUCACUGGAGUUCGGCAGGGGAGACUGGAAUUCCUGGUGUAGCGGUGAAAUGCGCAGAUAUCAGGAGGAACACCGGUGGCGAAGGCGGGUCUCUGGGCCGAUACUGACGCUGAGGCGCGAAAGCCAGGGGAGCAAACGGG
rnacentral:rRNA from 1 species